rnacentral:rRNA from 1 species
GACGAACGCUGGCGGCGUGCUUAACACAUGCAAGUCGAACGAAGUGGCGAACGGGUGAGUAACGCGUAAUCAACCUGCCCUUCAGAGGGGGACAACAGUUGGAAACGACUGCUAAUACCGCAUACUGAAGGAGGGGAUUGGGUCUGAUUAGCUAGUGGGAGGGGUAACGGCCCACCAAGGCGAUGAUCAGUAGCCGGUCUGAGAGGAGGAACGGCCAAAUUGGGAUGGAGCAACGGCCCAGAUUCCUACGGGAGGAAGCAGUGGGGAAUCUUCCGCAAUGGACGAAAGUCUGACAGAGCAACGCCGCGGGAGUGAUGACGGCCUUCGGUUUGUAAAGCUCGGUUAUCCGGGACGCGGUACCGGAAUAGAAAGCCACGGCUAACUACGUGCCAGCAGCCGCGGUAAUUC